rnacentral:rRNA from 1 species
AGUGAACGCUGGCGGCAGGCCUAACACAUGCAAGUCGAACGGCAGCACAGUAAGAGCUUGCUCUUAUGGGUGGCGAGUGGCGGACGGGUGAGGAAUACAUCGGACCCUACUUUUUGGGGGGGGUUAAGGAAGGGAAACUUAAGCCAAUACCGCAUCUGCCCCACGGUGGAAGGCAGGGGAUCUUCGCACCUUGCGGGAAUGAACGAGCCGAUGUGGGGUUAGCUGGUUGGGGGGGUAAAGGCCAACCAAGUCGAGGAUCCGUAGCUGGUCUGAGAGGAUGGUCGGCCGCACUAGAACGGAGACACGGUCCAGAGUCCUGCGAGAGGCAGCAGUGGGGAAUAUUGGACAAUGGGCGCAAGCCUGGUCCAGCCAGACCGCGUGGGUGAAGAAGGCGUUCGGGUUGUAAAGCCCUUUUGUUGGGAAAGAAAAGCAGCAGGUUAAUACCCCGCUGUUCUGACGGUACCCGGAGAAUAAGCACCGGCUAACUUCGUG